rnacentral:sRNA from 1 species
AACUGAUCCUGCUACAGCUCCACCAUGAAGUUCUUCUUGGUCCUGCUGCCGGCCAGCCUAGCCUCCACCUCUCUCGCCAUCCUUGAUGUUGAAUCUGGCCUCCUUCCACAACUCUCGGUCCCCUAAGGGUUAUUGAGCUGUCAGCUGGAGAGACCUCAGCACUAGAAAGGACCUUCCUUAAUCCUCGUAAUAUGCUGUGUGGAGAGGUGGAAAGCUGCAGAACCAAAAGUUCACACCUGGGAUGACCUAGGUAUGGAGAGCCAGAAGGUGAAAUUCACUCGGAGACUCAGCUUGCAGAUGGCUGUAAGUCUCAUGCUGGCAUCCUUUAGAUACUCCUCAGCAACCGCCUCAGAGGGAAAACUUGCCAAACUGGCCCAUAAAAUCGGGAAGAAUCUGGACAAAGCAUUGAAAGGAAUCAUAAACUAUCUGAAAAACCUAAUCCCUAGCGCCAAUGAUGUCAUGAGGCCCUAAUGAUGAGGGUGCCUGAAUUCCAGGCUAGGCCAUGGGAG